rnacentral:rRNA from 1 species
UACGGAGGGGGCUAGCGUUGUUCGGAAUUACUGGGCGUAAAGCGCACGUAGGCGGCUUUGUAAGUUAGAGGUGAAAGCCCAGGGCUUAACCCUGGAAUUGCCUUUAAGACUGCAUCGCUAGAAUCGUGGAGAGGUGAGUGGAAUUCCGAGUGUAGAGGUGAAAUUCGUAGAUAUUCGGAAGAACACCAGUGGCGAAGGCGACUCACUGGAUCGGUACUGACGCUGAGGUGCGAAAGCGUGGGGAGCAAACAGG